AACGAACGUUAGCGGCGCGCUUAACACAUGCAAGUCGAGCGAGAAAGGGAGCAAUCCCCGGUACAGCGGCGCACGGGUGAGUAACACGUAGGUAAUCUGCCUUCGAGUGGGGGAUAACCUUCCGAAAGGAGGGCUAAUACCGCAUAAGACCACGACUCCGAGAGGGGAUGAGGUCAAAGCCGGCCACUAUACAUAAGCUGGCGCUUGGAGAUGAGCCUGCGGCCCAUCAGCUAGUUGGUAGGGUAAUGGCCUACCAAGGCUAAGACGGGUANCUGGUCUGAGAGGAUGAUCAGCCACACU
rnacentral:rRNA from 1 species